AUUGAACGCUGGCGGCAUGCCUUACACAUGCAAGUCGAGCGCGAAAGGGGGCAACCCCGAGUAGAGCGGCGGACGGGUGAGUAACACAUCGGAACGUGCCCAGUAGUGGGGGACAACCUCGAGAAAUCGAGGCUAAUACCGCAUACGACCCACGGGUGAAAGCGGGGGACCCAAAGGAAACUGAGGGCCUCGCGCUAUUGGAGCGGCCGAUGUCCGAUUAGCUAGUUGGCGGGGUAAGAGCCCACCAAGGCGACGAUCGGUAGCUGGUCUGAGAGGACGACCAGCCACACUGGGACUGAGACACGGCCCAGACUCCUACGGGAGGCAGCAGUGGGGAAUUUUGGACAAUGGGGGCAACCCUGAUCCAGCCAUGCCGCGUGCGGGAAGAAGGCCUU
rnacentral:rRNA from 1 species